rnacentral:lncRNA from 10 species
UGUUGAAUUACGCUCCUGAAUUUAAGAAUCUAGACAGUUUGAAAAGCUUAUCUGUGACCUGUUACACGUAAGCUCUUUUUCUUUUUCUCUUCUCUUUUAAUUUCUGUUUCAUUGAAUUAAUAACAGAGUCUUGCUGUUGAAUGUGGAGUUGGCUUGGUCACCACUGCCACAGGGAUCUCUUUUUUGUUUUGUUUUGUUUUGUUUUUUGAGACAAGGUCUUGCUCUCUUACCCAGGUUGGGGUGCAGUGGCGUGAUCAUAGCUCACUGCCACCUUGAAUUCCAAGGCUCAAGGGAUCCUCUUGCCUUGGCCUUGUGAGUAGCUUGGGACCACAGCUGCACACCACCAUGGCCAGCUAAAGGGAUCUUUUAAAGAC